CGGCUCUCCGGCCACAACGACGGCCACAGCAGACGGAAGAGAUUCUGGCCCUCCGAAGCUAGCUGCUCCGAGCGUUAAGUUUCAGAUCGCCUCCACGUCUGGUGCGGCAGCAUCGAGUGAUCGUAGCGCAAGAACAGCGACAGCAGGCGUAAGAGAG